GGGAAGGAUGAGAAGCUUCGACCAAGGUUCGAUUCGAGCGCAGCGAGAAAGCGUUGCCGCAGGCAACGACCCGAAGGGCGAAGCGCGCAGCGCUGAGUCAUCCUUCCCCCACCACCA
rnacentral:sRNA from 7 species